rnacentral:rRNA from 1 species
AGUGAACGCUGGCGGCAGGCCUAACACAUGCAAGUCGAGCGGCAGCGCGGGGGCAACCCUGGCGGCGAGCGGCGGACGGGUGAGGAAUUCGUCGGUAUCUGCCUUUCUGUUGGGGAUAAGGUAGGGAAACGUACGCGGAUACCGUAUACGACCUACGGGAGAACGUGGGGGACCGAAAGGCCUCACGCAGAAAGAUGAGCCGACGACCGAUUAGCUAGUUGGUGGGGUAAGGGCCCACCAAGGCGACGAUCGGUAGCUGGUCUGAGAGGAUGAUCAGCCACACUGGAACUGAGACACGGCCCAGACUCCUACGGGAGGCAGCAGUGGGGAAUAUUGGACAAUGGGCGCAAGCCUGAUCCAGCCAUGCCGCGUGUGUGAAGAAGGCCUUCGGGUUGUAAAGCACCGUUGUCCGGAAAGAAAACCCGGGAGCGAAUACCUUCGGGGGAUGACGGUACCUGAAGAAUAAGCACCGGCUAACUUCGUG